AGAGUUUGAUCAUGGCUCAGGAUGAACGCUGGCGGUCUGCUUAACACAUGCAAGUCGAACGGAGUAGAAAUACUUAGUGGCGGACGGGUGAGUAACGCGUGAGAAUCUGCCUUCAGGACGGAGACAACAGUUGGAAACGACUGCUAAGCCCCGAUGAACCGAAAGGGAAAAUAUUUAUAGCCUGAAGAUGAGCUCGCGUCCGAUUAGCUAGUUGGCGGAGUAAAAGCCCACCAAGGCGACGAUCGGUAGCUGGUCUGAGAGGAUGACCAGCCACACUGGGACUGAGACACGGCCCAGACUCCUACGGGAGGCAGCAGUGGGGAAUUUUCCGCAAUGGGCGAAAGCCUGACGGAGCAAGACCGCGUGAGGGAGGAAGGCCCUUGGGUUGUAAACCUCUUUUGUCAGGGAAGAACACAAUGACGGUACCUGACGAAUCAGCCUCGGCUAACUCCGUGCCAGCAGCCGCGGUAAUACGGAGGAGGCAAGCGUUAUUCGGAAUGAUUGGGCGUAAAGCGUCCGCAGGUGGCAGUUCAAGUCUGCUGUCAAAGACCGGGGCUUAACUUCGGAAAGGCAGUGGAAACUGAACAGCUAGAGUAUGGUAGGGGCAGAGGGAAUUCCUGGUGUAGCGGUGAAAUGCGUAGAGAUUGGGAAGAACACCCGUGGCGAAAGCGCUCUGCUGGACUGCAACUGACACUCAGGGACGAAAGCUAGGGGAGCGAAUGGGAUUAGAUACCCCCGUAGUCC
rnacentral:rRNA from 1 species